rfam:Delftia acidovorans SPH-1, complete genome.
GUUCGCUGCCGCAUAGGCAGCUCAGAAA